rnacentral:lncRNA from 1 species
UGUCAUAUCAAGGAAAGGGUUACCUGACCUGUGUAAGACUAGGAACCAGAAAUGUUCCUGGCUGCAUAACCCUAGUCUCGCAUGACUUCUGAUACUGUAGGAAAGCAAGCUGGAAAUUAAUGUGUGGAAUUCUAAGAGAGAUGCAAGCAAAGUGACCAUUUGGGAAGGAAUAAUCCAGAAUGCAAAUACAAACUGAGCCGUCAUUUAUUAUUCAUCCUUGGGUGAGAGGGAGAAGAACCAGGGGUCAGAGAGAGAAGACAUUACAGAUUGAAUGCCAGCUGAAAUAUGGAAGGAAAGGACCGUGUUUUGAAAAUGACAGAGAACUUAGAAUGCAUUCACAGAAGGGUAAAAAGAGAAGAGAGAACAUUUAUAAAGCUAAUUAGAAGAGGAAGGUUCUGAAAAUACGUUUGAACUGGCCUGGAACAGUUAAGAAGGCUUUCUGACUCCACUCUUCCUACUCUGGCUUGCUAAUCAACUUUACCUGGUUUGAAAUGCCCACCCUUAUAUACAGGCAAUUAUGUGGAUUAGAAAUUAAGGAUGAAACAUCUUCCCAAAAGGUCACUGUUAAGAUUUACCCAUCAUCUUGGUGCUCCUAGCUCUCUACGACCAACACAGAGUGGCUGACACUUCAACCAGGCAGCUUGGAUUGCAAUGAGGACAAUGCAAUGCAUUUGGGCUGGAAACACUGCACAGGAUUUAACUGUAUGAAUGCACUCUAGUUCAUCUAUGCGGUGGUUAAGAGCGUAGGCUCUGAAGACUGCUAGGGUUCAAAUCCCAGGUCUUUCAACAUCAACUGGCUGUGAAACAUGGGCAAGUGAGUAAACGUUUCUGUGCUUUGGUUUCCUCACCGGUAAAAUGUGGAUAAAAGCAAUUCCUUCACAGGGUUGUUUGGAGGAGCAAAUGACUUUAUGUAUGUGAGGCACUUAGAAUAAUCUCUCAGUGUUAUUAUUUAACCAACAUUUUUGUUGAAUAUUUAGUUCAUUUCCAGGUUUUCACUCUUACAAAUAUACUGUAAUUAACAAAU